GCCCAGAUGGCGGAAUUGGUAGACGCAAGGGACUUAAAAUCCCUCGAACUUUGUUCAUGCCGGUUCGAUUCCGGCUCUGGGCACCA
rnacentral:tRNA from 1 species